GACAGCGUGGUGUAGUGGUUUGAGCGUUGGACUAUGACUCUGAAGACCAAGGUUUGAAUCCUUGCUCAGCCA